rnacentral:misc_RNA from 1 species
GAAACGCGAAAGGUAAUGCGAAUUGCAGAAUCAGUGAGUCAUCGAAUCUUUGAACGCACAUUGCGCCUCUCGGUAUUCCGGGAGGCACGCCUGUUCGAGCGCCAUUACAAACUCCAAGCGUGGCUUGAUGUUGGGCGAUGUCUUUUCGCGAGAGCGGAGACAUGCCUAGAACGCGUUGGCGCCGCCGCCGGACCACGAGCGUAGCAAGACGAGAGUCAACCGCAUCGAGUUGGUUUCCGACGGGGGUCCGCCUUUGGAUUGGGUUUUUGACUUGAUCUACUUAUCACAAGUUUGGCCUCGGAUCAGGCGGGGAUACCCGCUGAACUUAAGC